GGUUGAUCCAAUGGUAAUGGGUUAUCAGAACUUAUUAGUGGCACUAAUGUUGCUGUUCAACGCCCCACUGCUAAAUUUGACUGACUUAAA
ensembl:misc_RNA Y_RNA Y RNA